GAUGAACGCUAGCUACAGGCUUAACACAUGCAAGUCGCGGGGCAGCAUGAAUAUCGGCUUGCCGAUAUUUGCUGGCGACCGGCGCACGGGUGCGUAACGCGUAUCCAACUUUCCCGUUACUCUCGGGUAGCCUUCCGAACGGGCGAUUACUACGAGCUGGUGUCUUUAUUUCGCAUUUUACGCAGACUACAUAUUUAUUGGUAACGGCUACGGAUGCGUGACAUUAGAUAGUUGGCGGGGUAACGGCCCACCAAGUCUACGAUGUCUAGGGGUUCUGAGAGGAAGGUCCCCCACACUGGAACUGAGACACGGUACAGACUUCUACGGGAGGCAGCAGUGAGGAAUAUUGGUCAAUGGCCGAGAGGCUGAACCAGCCAAGUAGCGUGAAGGAUGAAGGUUCUAUGGAUUGUAAACUUCUUUUAUACGGGAAUAACAUCACCUACGUGUAGGUGCCUGCAUGUACCGUAUGAAUAAGCAUCGGCUAACUCCGUGCCAGCAGCCGCGGUAAGAC
rnacentral:rRNA from 1 species